rnacentral:rRNA from 1 species
GAUGAACGCUGGCGGCGUGCCUAAUACAUGCAGGUCGAGCGAACAGACGAGGAGCUUGCUCCUCUGACGUUAGCGGCGGACGGGUGAGUAACACGUGGAUAACCUACCUAUAAGACUGGGAUAAAUUCGGGAAACCGGAGCUAAUACCGGAUAAUAUAUUGAACCGCAUGGUUCAAUAGUGAAAGACGGUUUUGCUGUCACUUAUAGAUGGAUCCGCGCCGCAUUAGCUAGUUGGUAAGGUAACGGCUUACCAAGGCAACGAUGCGUAGCCGACCUGAGAGGGUGAUCGGCAACACUGGAACUGAGAAACGGUCCAGACUCCUACGGGAGGAAGCAGUAGGGAAUCUGCCGCAAUGGGCGAAAGCCUGACGGAGCAACGCCGCGUGAGUGAUGAAGGUCUUCGGAUCGUAAAACUCUGUUAUUAGGGAAGAACAAAUGUGUAAGUAACUAUGCACGUCUUGACGGUACCUAAUCAGAAAGCCACGGCUAACUACGUG